AGCACCAUGGACCAGUAGGAACUAUAGCUGUCUGUUAACAGGUACUGAACCACACAGAGUCACUAACAGCACCAUGGACCAGUAGGAACUAUAGCUGUCUGUUAACAGGUACUGAACCACACAGAGUCACUAACAGCACCAUGGACCAGUAGGAACUAUAGCUGUCUGUUAACAGGUACUGAACCACACAGAGUCACUAACAGCACCAUGGACCAGUAGGAACUAUAGCUGUCUGUUAACAGGUACUGAACCACACAGAGUCACUAACAGCACCAUGGACCAGUAGGAACUAUAGCUGUCUGUUAACAGGUACUGAACCACACAGAGUCACUAACAGCACCAUGGACCAGUAGGAACUAUAGCUGUCUGUUAACAGGUACUGAACCACACAGAGUCACUAACAGCACCAUGGACCAGUAGGAACUAUAGCUGUCUGUUAACAGGUACUGAACCACACAGAGUCACUAACAGCACCAUGGACCAGUAGGAACUAUAGCUGUCUGUUAACAGGUACUGAACCACACAGAGUCACUAACAGCACCAUGGACCAGUAGGAACUAUAGCUGUCUGUUAACAGGUACUGAACCACACAGAGUCACUAACAGCACCAUGGACCAGUAGGAACUAUAGCUGUCUGUUAACAGGUACUGAACCACACAGAGUCACUAACAGCACCAUGGACCAGUAGGAACUAUAGCUGUCUGUUAACAGGUACUGAACCACACAGAGUCACUAACAGCACCAUGGACCAGUAGGAACUAUAGCUGUCUGUUAACAGGUACUGAACCACACAGAGUCACUAACAGCACCAUGGACCAGUAGGAACUAUAGCUGUCUGUUAACAGGUACUGAACCACACAGAGUCACUAACAGCACCAUGGACCAGUAGGAACUAUAGCUGUCUGUUAACAGGUACUGAACCACACAGAGUCACUAACAGCACCAUGGACCAGUAGGAACUAUAGCUGUCUGUUAACAGGUACUGAACCACACAGAGUCACUAACAGCACCAUGGACCAGUAGGAACUAUAGCUGUCUGUUAACAGGUACUGAACCACACAGAGUCACUAACAGCACCAUGGACCAGUAGGAACUAUAGCUGUCUGUUAACAGGUACUGAACCACACAGAGUCACUAACAGCACCAUGGACCAGUAGGAACUAUAGCUGUCUGGCUCCUUCUAUUUGACAUGGGUUCAAUGGUGACCUCUGUGUGACCCUGCGAUGGGAACAGUGGACUGUCACACCCAUCCUGAACACUGUGUUGCACACAGGCUUCGUCCCAAACAGAACCCUAUUGAGGGAAUAGACUGUAUUAGACCAGGGUACUAUGGAGGGAAUAGACUGUACUAUGGAGGGAAUAGACUGCAUUAGACCAGGGUACUAUGGAGGGAAUAGACUGUAUUAGACCAGGGCACUAUGGAGGGAAUAGACUGUACUAUGGAGGGAAUAGACUGCAUUAGACCAGGGUACUAUGGAGGGAAUAGACUGUACUAUGGAGGGAAUAGACUGCAUUAGACCAGGGUACUAUGGAGGGAAUAGACUGUAUUAGACCAGGGCACUAUGGAGGGAAUAGACUGCACUAUGGAGGGAAUAGACUGUAUUAGACCAGGGUACUAUGGAGGGAAUAGACUGCACUAUGGAGGGAAUAGACUGCAUUAGACCAGGGCACUAUGGAGGGAAUAGACUGUACUAUGGAGGGAAUAGACUGUAUUAGACCAGGGCACUAUGGAGGGAAUAGACUGCACUAUGGAGGGAAUAGACUGCAUUAGACCAGGGCACUAUGGAGGGAAUAGACUGUACUAUGGAGGGAAUAGACUGUAUUAGACCAGGGCACUAUGGAGGGAAUAGACUGCAUUAGACCAGGGCACUAUGGAGGGAAUAGACUGUAUUAGACCAGGGCACUAUGGAGGGAAUAGACUGUACUAUGGAGGGAAUAGACUGUAUUAGACCAGGGCACUAUGGAGGGAAUAGACUGCAUUAGACCAGGGCACUAUGGAGGGAAUAGACUGCAUUAGACCAGGGCACUAUGGAGGGAAUAGACUGUAUUAGACCAGGGCACUAUGGAGGGAAUAGACUGCAUUAGACCAGGGCACUAUGGAGGGAAUAGACUGCAUUAGACCAGGACACUAUGGAGGGAAUAGACUGUAUUAGACCAGGGCACUAUGGAGGGAAUAGACUGCACUAUGGAGGGAAUAGACUGCAUUAGACCAGGACCCAUAGGGUAGGGCACUAUGGAGGGAGUAGGCUGCAUUAGACCAGGACCCAUAGGGUAGGGCACUAUGGAGGGAAUAGACUGUAUUAGACCAGGGCACUAUGGAGGGAAUAGACUGCAUUAGACCAGGGUACUAUGGAGGGAAUAGACUGUAUUAGACCAGGACACUAUGGAGGGAAUAGACUGCAUUAGACCAGGGCACUAUGGAGGGAAUAGACUGCAUUAGACCAGGGCACUAUGGAGGGAAUAGACUGCAUUAGACCAGGACACUAUGGAGGGAAUAGACUGUAUUAGACCAGGGCACUAUGGAGGGAAUAGACUGCAUUAGACCAGGGCACUAUGGAGGAAAUAGACUGUAUUAGACCAGGGCACUAUGGAGGGAAUAGACUGCAUUAGACCAGGGCACUAUGGAGGGAAUAGACUGCAUUAGACCAGUGCACUAUGGAGGGAAUAGACUGCAUUAGACCAGGGCACUAUGGAGGGAAUAGACUGCAUUAGACCAGGGCACUAUGGAGGGAUUAGACUGCAUUAGACCAGGACACUAUGGAGGGAAUAGACUGUAUUAGACCAGGGCACUAUGGAGGGAAUAGACUGCACUAUGGAGGGAAUAGACUGCAUUAGACCAGGACCCAUAGGGUAGGGCACUAUGGAGGGAGUAGGCUGCAUUAGACCAGGACCCAUAGGGUAGGGCACUAUGGAGGGAAUAGACUGUAUUAGACCAGGGCACUAUGGAGGGAAUAGACUGCAUUAGACCAGGGUACUAUGGAGGGAAUAGACUGUAUUAGACCAGGACACUAUGGAGGGAAUAGACUGCAUUAGACCAGGGCACUAUGGAGGGAAUAGACUGCAUUAGACCAGGGCACUAUGGAGGGAAUAGACUGCAUUAGACCAGGACACUAUGGAGGGAAUAGACUGUAUUAGACCAGGGCACUAUGGAGGGAAUAGACUGCAUUAGACCAGGGCACUAUGGAGGGAAUAGACUGUAUUAGACCAGGGCACUAUGGAGGGAAUAGACUGCAUUAGACCAGGGCACUAUGGAGGGAAUAGACUGUAUUAGACCAGGGCACUAUGGAGGGAAUAGACUGCAUUAGACCAGGGCACUAUGGAGGGAAUAGACUGCAUUAGACCAGGGCACUAUGGAGGGAAUAGACUAUAUUAGACCAGGGCACGAUGGAGGGAAUAGACUGUAUUAGACCAGGGCACUAUGGAGGGAAUAGACUGUAUUAGACCAGGGCACUAUGGAGGGAAUAGACUGUAUUAGACCAGGGCACUAUGGAGGGAUUAGACUGUAUUAGACCAGGGCACUAUGGAGGGAAUAGACUGCACUAUGGAGGGAAUAGACUGUAUUAGACCAGGACAGUAUGGAGGGAAUAGACUGCAUUAGACCAGGGCACGAUGGAGGGAAUAUACUUUAUUAGACCAGGGCACUAUGGAGGGAAUAGACUGCACUAUGGAGGGAAUAGACUGCACUAUGGAGGGAAUAGACUGCACUAUGGAGGGAAUAUACUUUAUUAGACCAGGGCACUAUGGAGGGAAUAGACUGCACUAUGGAGGGAAUAGACUGUAUUAGACCAGGACAGUAUGGAGGGAAUAGACUGCACUAUGGAGGGAAUAGACUGCACUAUGGAGGGAAUAUACUUUAUUAGACCAGGGCACUAUGGAGGGAAUAGACUGCACUAUGGAGGGAAUAUACUUUAUUAGACCAGGGCACUAUGGAGGGAAUAGACUGCACUAUGGAGGGAAUAGACUGUAUUAGACCAGGACAGUAUGGAGGGAAUAGACUGCAUUAGACCAGGGCACGAUGGAGGGAAUAUACUUUAUUAGACCAGGGCACUAUGGAGGGACUAGACUGCCAUUUUGAGAUACAUUAACCUACUGUUGAGGAACCACCCCGACCUGACAUCUCUCUCUUCCUCUCCUCCCCUCCCUCUUCCCUCCUCUCUCCUCCCUCCUCUCUCCU